AUAAUUGAGACGUGAUGAGGAACCCACGUCGUUAAAUAACGCCUCCACCUUUUGUGAACUGUUUCUGUCUCUGGCGGCCGGGUGCUUGUGGCUUCUGCUUCUCGCAUCUGUCAGCUUGGUGAAAACCGAGCCGUGGACAAACCGCCAACCACAACCACAUGUAAACCCAUGUUUUAUAUUUAUUUAUUUUUUUGUCUGACAUAGUUUUUGUAUAAAUGUACAAA
rnacentral:misc_RNA from 1 species